rnacentral:ncRNA from 1 species
UGAGUACCAGAGAUCAGAGGGAGGAACAAGCCUCUCAGAC